GGAGGGAUGGCACAGUUGGAGUGCAUUGCUCCUGCCGGAAGGUCAUCGGUUCAAAUCCGGCUCCCUCCA